rnacentral:rRNA from 1 species
CAUUAAAGAGUAUAGAGACUUUGGUCUACUACUCCACCCUUUGUUUACAAUACCAUUGUUGCUUUGGCAGGCCCGUCGAAAGACAACUGGCUUCGGCUGGUCAGUGCCUGCCAGAGGACCUAAAACUCAUGUUUAUAUUAUUGUCUGAGUACUAUAUAAUAGUUAAAACUUUCAACAACGGAUCUCUUGGUUCUGGCAUCGAUGAAGAACGCAGCGAAAUGCGAUAAGUAAUGUGAAUUGCAGAAUUCAGUGAAUCAUCGAAUCUUUGAACGCACAUUGCGCCCUCUGGUAUUCCGGGGGGCAUGCCUGUUCGAGCGUCAUUACAACCCUCAAGCUCUGCUUGGUAUUAGGCUUCACCCUUUGGGGCGGGCUUUAAAAUCAGUGGCGGUGCCAUUCGGCUUCAAGCGUAGUAAUUUUCUCGCUUUGGAGGACCGGGUGUGUGCUUGCCAACAACCCCAAUUUUUUAAAGGUUG